rnacentral:lncRNA from 1 species
UGGGGUCUGGGGAGGGUAAUAUGUAGACAGGCCUUACCCCUACCCGAAAGGGCAGAGAGGCUGUUUCCAAUCAACCCUCGGCUCAUUGAAGGAAAAACAAAAACAAAAACAAAAACAAAAACAAAAGGGCAUUAGAAGUUAUAUAGAUGUACAAGAAGUUAUAUAGAUGCGGAGGAAUCAUGCAAAGAUUACAAGUGUAAUUAGCUUUCUUUCUUCGACACUGGAGGCCUAAGUUUAGGUGCUCUUUAGUUUGUAAUUUGCUUUUUGGUUAUCUAUGGUAAUGUCACAGUGUUACCAAAAAAAGGUUUUUUUUUUAUUAUCAGGGCGCACUAGGUUAAGAAACAUUUAUGAGGCUAGAUUACCAGUGCAUCAAGAUCCACAACCAUUUUGGUAAUGUCUACCACCCCAACACUCCAGAUGCGUCACAAUCUUUUCUGGUCAAUUACAAUUAUAAUCACAAGAGGGGCUUGCUCUGAUGGUAAGCAACCCCCACUUCCAAUCGAGAGGUUGUGAGUUCGANNNNNNNNNNNNNNNNNNNNNNNNNNNNNNAUACAAUGGUAAGCAACCCCCACUUCCAACCGAGAGGUUGUGAGUUCGAGUC